rnacentral:rRNA from 1 species
AUGCUUUGUUUCCCAAUCAUCAGCAACAUGGUGGUCACCAAGACCCUCAUCGAUGGUGGGGCAGGGCUCAACGUCCUAUCCGUAGAGACAUUCAACAACCUCCAAGUGCCCUACAGCCAACUCCAGCCGACCAAGCCUUUCUCCGGCAUCACCGACGGCUCCACGGUCCCGAUCGGGCAGGUCCACCUCCCUGUCACCUUCGGGGCACGCGAGAACUACCGCACUGAGCUCAUCGACUUCGACGUCGCUCACAUCCGCCUGCCGUACAAUGCCAUCCUUAGGAACCCAAUGCUGGCCAAGUUCAUGGCCGUGACUCACCACGGCUACAACGUCCUCAAGAUGCCAGGAAGCGGUGGAGUCAUCACGGUGCCCUGUGAAGAGAAGGACGCGGUGUGUUCCCUGAAGCGAGCCUUUCAGGCCGCAUCGCUGGAGGACCCGGAUCGCGGAAGCAGGAGGCUUCCCGAGGCUGCCCCCAAGAAGAAGAAGACAUCGUCCGGCCUGGCACCUCAGGAGGCAGGCCCCUCUGGGCCCGUGCCUGCCCAGGGGGAACCUCCUUCCAUCGCAUAG